GAUGAAGAACGUAGCGAAAUGCGAUACUUGGUGUGAAUUGCAGAAUCCUGUGAACCAUCGAGUCUUUGAACGCAAGUUGCGCCCGAAGCCAUUAGGCCGAGGGCACGCCUGCCUGGGCGUCACACGUCGUUGCCCCCCCAUCUACUCCUUCGGGAUUGCGGGGGGCGGAUGAUGGCCUCCCGUGCGCCUCGUCGCGCGGUUGGCAUAAAUGCCAAGUCCUCGGCGACGCACGCCACGACAAUCGGUGGUUGCGAAACCUCGGUUGCCCGUCGUGUGCGGUCGUCGCGCAUCGAGGGCUCGAAAAAAUUGCCGGGCUCCGGCUCGGCUUUCAACGCGACCCCAGGUCAGGCGGGGUUACCCGCUGAAUUUAAGCAUAUCAAUAAGCGGAGGA
rnacentral:misc_RNA from 1 species